rnacentral:rRNA from 1 species
GACGAACGCUGGCGGCGUGCCUAACACAUGCAAGUGGAGCGACGAACCAGGCUUCGGCCUGGGGCAGAGCCGCGAACGGGUGAGUAACACGUGGGUAACCUGCCCCGAUGAUUGGGACAACCCGAGGAAACUCGGGCUAAUACCAAAUGUGCCCCUCGGCCAUAAGGUUGUUGUGGGAAAGGAAGCUUCGGCCUCCGCAUCGGGAUGGGCCCGCGGCCCAUUAGCUUGUUGGUGAGGUAAUGGCUCACCAAGGCAAUGAUGGGUAGCUGGUCUGAGA